rnacentral:rRNA from 1 species
UAGGGAAUCUUCCGCAAUGGACGCAAGUCUGACGGAGCAACGCCGCGUGAGUGAAGAAGGAUUUCGGUUCGUAAAACUCUGUUGUUAGAGAAGAACAGCGCAUAGAGUAACUGUUAUGCGUGUGACGGUAUCUAACCAGAAAGCCACGGCUAACUACGUGCCAGCAGCCGCGGUAAUACGUAGGUGGCAAGCGUUGUCCGGAUUUAUUGGGCGUAAAGCGAGCGCAGGCGGUCAAUUAAGUCUGAUGUGAAAGCCCCCGGCUCAACCGGGGAGGGUCAUUGGAAACUGGUUGACUUGAGUGCAGAAGAGGAGAGUGGAAUUCCAUGUUUAGCGGUGAAAUGCGUAGGUAUAUGGAGGAACACCGGGGGCGAAGGCGACUCUCUGGUCUGUAACUGACGCUGAGGAUCGAAAGCGUGGGUAGCAAACAGG